AUUACAGCAAGGAGGAAGCAGGACCAUCUGGUACAGAAAGGAUCGUGCAUCCAACCACUUCGGUUAAGGAUCCUCUUCUUCAAUUGACAACAGUGUACCAGAAGAUGAGGGGUAUCAGCCACCUGCCCAUCGGCUACGGACUUCUCCAAGCCCCGUGAUUGCCUCUACCCAAGAAAAAAAGAGCAGUUCAACUAGGCCAAUGGCCAGGCAGGCGAUUCAAGCCACCCUUCCGCCUAUUGAUGACAGCCAGGACAUGCGUCACUCUCCAGAGAUUGGGUCACAGGGUAAAAGGUCAAGGAGGGAAACCAAGACAUCACUCUCCCACCGACACCCUCCAGCUCUGUGGGAAAUUCCAAGAUUUUCCAAGACCAGCAGUGAUAUAUAACCCUUCCAGCAAGUUCUGGGCCUUUCCAGUAUGACAUGCUCUUAAAAUCUCCAGAAGUAGACACCCAAAGAGCAUACAUAUCAAAGUCCUAAAACACUUAAACUGACUCCUUUCAAUACGCAGGACCAACAGCUCUACUCAAAGCUCCAUCCGGGUGAUGGAGCUGAUGCUGAAGCUAGAUGGAUGAAUUGAAUUUUUUUCAUAUUUUGUGCUAAUGUGAAAUGCUUUUGUAAUGUAGGCGUGAUUCUUUUGCACCACAAAGCAUUGUAUGUUGAAUGCUAAUGUAAAAUAUGAGAAUUAUAAUCAGUAACAAUAGAAGAAUAAUCACAGUGUAAUUCACAAAAACAACAAAUGCAACAAUAACAUCUAAAGUAAAUAAAAUGUUUUCCUGACAGAUAAUUAAGUCACAGAUUAAUGUGUGGCUAAACGCCCACAUUAGUUGGUACCAAGAAACUAACCAAUCACAAAAGGGACAGUGAAGUGUACUGUGGUGGCUUAAGGUUUUUGCAGUGACAAAAAUGUGUUUGGCAAUUUUUGCAGCAUCUGAUUUUAUGUUAUAUGACACUUUAUUUUGUUUUUAGGUUAUUAUUCAGGGAAAUUGAGAAUAUGUUAGGCUCUUUUGUUGCUAAGGGCCUUAUUCGUUCAAACAGUUCACUCAAUAUCAAAAACACACAUUUUCUCUUAAAGUGUACUACCAAAUAUCAGCCAACAUUCUUUCAAUACUGUCUUGCCAUAAAGUGAAACUGGGAAAGAGAGUAUAAGAAACCACUAUCAAGCUUAUGAAAUGUAAUUGCUUAAGGAAGUGGGGCAUUUGUUUUUUGAAAUUGUAUCCUUCUUCUGUUAGCAGUGGUUACCUUCAAAGAACGGUAGUUCAAAGGCUUUCCAUGAAAUUGACCAAACAUGUUAGGAAAUUGCAAACAGUUUUUACAAAACAUUUUUCUCUUCAAUAACUUUAAGGUGUCUUGUUGGUCUCUUGGUGUCUUGUUUUUUUGGUUAUAGUAGGAUGAAGUGGAAGAAUGAGAUGGAUAAAAUGGGUCCUUUUUCUGCAAAAAGAGGGUUGCUAAUAUUGUGGUAAAGAAAGACCUUAGUCAAAAAGCUAUUCACCUGGACGGCCGUGUACUGUAACAACCCUCACCUAUGGUUAUACGUUAUGGAUCAUGGGGGUGGGCUCUCAAUAUCUGUGGCUUUUCCAACAAUGAAAAUAGUCAGUUAGGUGGUUUUGCCAUCUUAUCAUGAUGCUUUUGGGGCGCCUGUGUUUGGAGACUUCUGGCCAGAGACUGUUUUGUGAUCCCCUCAGCUGUAGUGUUGAGAGUAUGCCUCAGCUUCCACGUGGACCUGUUAACCAAGUGACCCAUAAGACAAUGAAUAGUUGUGUAGUCAAUGUUUAGGCUAGUUGUUGGCAAAGCAAAGGCCAGUUUUAAUUAGACCAUAAUUGGUCACAAUCAGUGAAGAUUAAAAUCCAGGAUGCUGACAAUAUACAACCCAAUUUUUGACAUUGUCAUUUUUAAAAAUAUUUACUUGUAAAAACUGUCUUUCUUUGGUACAGCAUUAAAAAUUAUUAAAGCAAGAAAUUACAAAAAAUAACCAACAAAAAGAACUUUAGUGUUAAUGCUAAAAGUGUCGGUAUUGACUAAGGAUAUGUGCACAUUCCAGGAUCGGUUUAGGAUUCGUCUCCCUGUAUGUUUCUGAUGAUCAGAUACACAAAAGCAAGCCAACACUUGACAAAUAUUGAUUUAUGAGUCACAUUUAUUUAUUUAAAACUCUGCACAGUAUAUCGGCUUUUUUAACAGCUUCUGGAGAGGACUUUUUCAUAGCCGGUGUUGAAAUAUCUGCACAUAAUUUUUCUAUUUGUAUAACAACUUCUAAAUGCAGAAAUGUCAGUGAAUUUAGGGUCUGUUUUAACAAUUUGACAAGUUACUGUUAAUUUUUGUCACAAAACAUUAGUUUUGUUAAUAUCAGUUCAAUCUCAGAUGUUAUUGUAAGAAGUUGGUUUGGUAAAAUAACAAG